rnacentral:rRNA from 1 species
GACGAACGCUGGCGGCGUGCCUAAUACAUGCAAGUAGAACGCAGUUGCGAACGGGUGAGUAACGCGUAUGUAACUGCCUGGUAGAGGGGGAUAAAUCUUGGAAACGCUAGCUAAUACCGCAUACUACCAGAUGGACCUGCGUUGUAGUAGCUAGUUGGUGGUGUAACGGCUUACCAAGGCGACGAUACAUAGCCGACCUGAGAGGGUGAUCGGCCACACUGGGAAUGAGACACGGCCCAGACUCCUUCGGGAGGCAGCAGUAGGGAAACUUCGGCAAUGGACGGAAGUCUGACCGAGCAACGCCGCGUGAGUGAAGAAGGUUUUCGGAUCGUAAAGCUCUGUUGUAAGAGAAGCGGUAUCUUACCAGAAAGGGACGGCUAACUACGUGCCAGCAGCCGCGGUAAUUC